UUAGAUAAAGCAAGCUAACAGAGAGAGAAGUGAUCACUUUACAGCAGAGAUGAACUUCUCGCAGGAAGUUUGAUAAAUUGACAUCAUUCCAGGCAAUUUGAGCUGGCAGAAACAUCUGCCACCUCAGUGAAGACGAGAAGACCUGAUGCAAGUGAGAUGGGCUCAGCAGAGAUACAGCCUCACUGAUGUCAGGAAUAUGAGAAGAGAUCAUCUAAUUUUCAGAAGACACAUGAAUAACUGGAUAUAAUUAUCUGGCACCUUGAGAAUGGAAAUUAACUUCAACACCAUUGUUUCUCAGCUUUAGCAUUUAGCUAGGGGAAUAACAACUAAAUGUUAUCAGGGCACUGGGGUUAUUAUUCCACCUCAUAGCUUGAAAGCCAUGUGUAUGCUAUCACACAGCAUGGAUCUCCUAGUAGAGCUGUUAGGUUCUGCAAUUUGCUUGCAAUUUGUGCUUUCCUAAUAACUGAACCUGCAUCCUGUGUGACCAAGGAGUGACACAGACACAUACACAAUCCAUCAAGCUGCAGACACCCUCAAGAUUUAUCCAAGCAUGGUUUCCUGCUGCACUGUGAUCAAAAGAUGAACAUACUGAAG
rnacentral:lncRNA from 1 species